rnacentral:lncRNA from 1 species
AUCACGAUAUACGCUAAAAAAUAUCAAAAACAUUUUUCGCUCAUUAAGAAUAUUAUUGUACCUGUUAUAUAUAUAUAUAUAGUUGUAAGAACACGUACUCAUAGUUGUAAAAACCUAUUUGCACAAGUACUACGACACGAUUUCUUUCUUUCCUUUUAUUUUUUUGUUUACAGCUUAAAGAAAAUGCAAACUUUAUCCGACUUUUGCUUCUUAAAAUAUAUUAGCGAUAAAAUAAAUGUUGCUAAAAUUGUUAACCGAAAUAUAACAGAACUAAAGCUAGAUGGAUUUAUCGAAUUGGACAAUGAGAUAGAGCGUUUUGUGAAAUUAAGAAAUGCUAUUAUAACUGAACAGUAUAAAGGGUUGACAGAAAAAUUGUUCUUGUUACACAAAGAAUAUUUAUUUUAUUUUAAUACUUUUUUAAAAAAAAAAUUAUUGAAAGAUAAAAAUAAAGUAUUAUAUACUAAUGAUUGUUUUGAUAGAACGAAAAAGGUCGAAUACAAUUUUGAAAAUGAAAUAGUUAUCAUUAUAUAUAAUAUAGGUUUUAUUACUACAGCUAUAUUAAAAUCUAAAAAAAAAGACAAAGAUGUAAAAUUAUUAAAUAAAUUAUCGCAAGAAGCAGUAAAUAUUUUUAAUUACUUAUUCCAAAGUAUUAUUAAUGAAAUAUACUGCGACUUAAGUGACAUAAAUUGUUUAAGUUGUUAUAUAUUUUUAAAUUUAUCAUUAGCUUAUCAUGAAAAUUUAUUUUAUAAUACAGCUUUGUCAAAAAAAUAUAAAAGGAAUUUAUUAGCAAAAAUAUCAUAUAAUAUAUAUACAUAUUUUAAUAAUAUGUUAACUUGCUUAGAUGGUAAAAAAUUAGAUGUAUUUAAAAAAAUGGAUACAUUUGUUAAUGCAAAAAAUGAUCUUCUAUUAACUCUUCGAAAUAGUAGUAGUCUUCUUUAUAACUUUAUAUAUGUAAAUAAAUUAAUUUUUCUAAGUAUUAGCAAUUAUCAAACGUCUUUGAAGUACUGUCAAUUAAAUUCAAAUAGUGAAGAAAUAGUUAUACAAAAAUAUGAAGAAGAAAAAAUAGGAGANNNNNNNNNNNNNNNNNNNNNNNNNNNNNNNNNNNNNNNNNNNNNNNNNNNNNNNNNNNNNNNNNNNNNNNNNNNNNNNNNNNNNNNNNNNNNNNNNNNNAAAUUAGAUGUAUUUACAAAAAUGGAUGCAUUUGUUAAUGCAAAAAAUAAUCUUAUAUUAACUCUUCGAAAUAGUAAUAGUCUUCUUUAUAACUUUAUAUAUGUAAAUAAAUUAAUUUUUUUAAGUAUUACCAAUUAUCAAACGUCUUUGAAGUACUGUCAAUUAAACCCAAAUAGUGAAGAAGUAGUUAUACAAAAAUAUGAAGAAGAAAAAAUAGGAGAAAUUAUAUCUAGAUUACAGUUUGGUAUUCAAAAUAUAAACAGAGCAGAAGAUAUAAGUAAAAAAUAUAAUAUACAUAUUAAUACUGAGAUGUUGAAAAACAAGAUAAACACUGCUUUAGUUUUUUUUGAAAAAGAUAAUAAAAAUAUAUAUUUUGAGUCGAUACCUGAAUAUACCACGUUAGACUGUUUAAAAGGAACAGAAGUUAUAAAAUUACAAGAUCCUGAUAUAUCAACUAUUUAUCUGAAAAAAGAUAUAAGUAAUAAUUUAAAAUUAUUAUUUAAUGAAAAAGCAAAAAAGAUAUAUGACGAAUAUAGUGUAGAAGCUUGUAGAGUGUAUGACUUAUAUGAAAAACAUCUUGGUAGUUUAAAAGAUCAAUAUAAACUAAUUAGUUUGUCUUAUCGAAAAAAUAUAUUUACAAUCCUUAGUAAUGUACUUUUAAAUAUAUAUAACACAUUAAAACAAACAUACAAUCCUACUAGUUAUGACAAGAGUUUACAUUUUUUAAUGGAUGUUGAAACAAAUUUAAAUUUAAUAUUAAAUCAAAUCGAAACAAAUUUAAACACAGAAAAUAAUAAUCAUCUAGAUUUUCAAAAAUUAUAUACCAAUAUAGGCGUUAACCAAGACUCAUUAAAUUCAUAUAAAAAAUAUGUAUAUCAUUUAAAUAACUUUAAAAAAACAUUAACUGAAAUAACAACUAACAUCGUUGAAUUUAAAAGUUUCCUUGAAAAUAAUUAUAAUUAUUUACAGCUAUGUGAAAUGAAUGUUUCUAAUUUUUUUGAACACAUGAUAAACGAACUUAACUCUAAUGCAAAUACGUGUAUUGAAUCUUUUGAUAAGGAUUAUACAUUUUAUAAAAAAUUACUAUCAGAAGAAGAAGAAGAAGAAGAAAAAAAAAAAAUGAAAAAUGAUACAAUAACAAAUACGGACGAACAAAAAGUACUACUACCACCAUCAUCAGUAUCACUUACGAAUAAUAUACCUAAAUUAACGUAUUCUGAUUUUCAGAGCUUUUUAAAAAAAAACAACAUAUCAGUUACUGCGUCAAGUAGUAUUGGUAAUACUAAUAAUAUAAAAUAUUAUGAUAUAUUAAAAAAUUAUGUAAAUAUAUAUUCAGAAGAAAAAUUAUAUUUUCUAAUAAAUGCUAUAUACUUU